rnacentral:rRNA from 1 species
CCCUUAGAUGUUCUGGGCUGCACGCGCGCUACACUGAUGCGCUCAACGAGUUUUAACCUUGCCUGGAAAGGUUGGGUAAUCUUUUUAAAACGCUUCGUGAUGGGGAUAGAUUAUUGCAAUUAUUAAUCUUCAACGAGGAAUUCCUAGUAAGCGCGAGUCAUCAGCUCGUGCUGAUUACGUCCCUGCCCUUUGUACACACCGCCCGUCGCUCCUACCGAUUGAGCGAUCCGGUGAAUAAUUCGGACUGCAGCACUGCUUGGUCUCCAGGCUUUGCAGCGGAAAGUUUAGUGAACCUUAUCACUUAGAGGAAGGAGAAGUCGUAACA